ACAACUUGAUCAUUUAUUCAUGCAUUGCAAGAUGGCUCAGAGUCCUUAGGGAAAAGUUUUUGCAGCAGUUAAACUGAAGUGGUGCUUUCUAGCCCAAAGUUGUGCUAUUCUGGUGGAGGUUUUGGGGUUUCGGAAGAGGGAAGAAGGCUCAAACCAUACGGAGAGUAAUGCUUUCAGCUGCUCUUUGGGUAACAUGGAAUGAGAGAAAUUAUCAAUGUUUUGAAGAGUGAGAUGGUUGUUGAAGACUUAUUUGAGAAGGCAAAAUACCUUGCUUCUCUGUGGGCUGCAACAGAUGCCAUUGUCUCUGAUAAUAUUAGAGACAGAUACGCAGCCAUACAUAGAAGUGGUUUCUGAAUGUUCAAGAGAGUGGGGCCAAUGAACAAAUCACUACAAUACGAAACGUGAGAAGUGAAAAGGCAAAAAGCUGGCGAUUCACGGGAAGAGGAAAGCUAAGGAGUGAUAGAGAAAAGUUGUGGCUUGAUAGGAAGUAAGAGAGCAAAAGGAGACAAAUAAUUGAUGCAAAAUUUUGAACAAUAGAUUGCCUUCAACAAACUGGAAGCAUUGGCCUUCAAGUUGGUUGGAAUUGACAAUCCAUGAAUUGUCAAAGUACUAAACAACAAGAAAUGAAAAAAAAGAAAAGAAAACAAAUUAAAAGAGUUCAUCAAUUUGGGCUUUUAAAGGAGUCCAUCAUCGAAGAGAAACUUAUGAUGUGGAGGACGAACUCCAUCCAAGCGUGUCGUGUUAUACUUCUUUCCCGGCCAAACCUUUGUCCAAACGCCUUCAUAAACUACUCGCUUCGGAGAGGUCGGAUCUGGCAGCUGAGAGGGCAGAUUGCGAUGAGGGAGUAGAUAAAAUGGCAGUAGAGGGGAGAGAGAGAGAUCCGGCACGGUGGUGAUUGAAAACGUCGGCAGAGGAGGUGCGUGAGGGUUGGAUUAUUGCGGCUGUGGCUGGAGUUUGGAAGCGAAACUGAGGCCGUGAGCGACGGCGUUGCCGGGUUUUGUAGAUUGGAGGCUGGCGAGUCGUUUGAUGUAGGCGGUGGCAACCGGAGACGUCGACGCUGUGGUGAUUGGCGGUGGCCUGUGUGCCGCGUGGGGAGGUUUCUGUG